rnacentral:rRNA from 1 species
AUACGGAGGGUGCAAGCGUUAUUCGGAAUCACUGGGCGUAAAGGGUGCGUAGGCGGUUUGAUAAGUCUGAUGUGAAAUCCUAUGGCUCAACCAUAGAACUGCAUUGGAAACUGACAGACUAGAAUACUGAAGGGGCAGAUGGAAUUAGUGGUGUAGGGGUAAAAUCCGUAGAUAUCACUAGGAAUACCGAAAGCGAAAGCGAUCUGCUGGGAAGUUAUUGACGCUGAGGCACGAAAGCGUGGGGAGCAAACGGGAUUAGAUACCCUAGUAGUCC